rnacentral:misc_RNA from 1 species
AAAUGAUUCUUCCUCGCAUUCCCAUUACUCAACUUCUUAUCAUUGAAAACCUCAAUAUCUAGCUCCUCAAACUCCAUCGUUCUGGGAUCCGAAAUGAUGAAUUCCAGACCUUCGUUCCAUUCUGGGUUAAGAUUUCUGCACACAGUCGAAGUCCGCUUCUUCUGACCAUCAAAAUCCACAACAACAUACGGACUGGAGCUCCCUUGCCCAUCCUUUGGUAA